CCUUCUACAAAAUUCACCUUGGUUAGAAGCUCAGGAUUCAUGAGUUGCUCAUUAUCUUUCUCAAGGUGUUGUUCUUGGAUCCUAAUGGCAGACAAUAGAGUUUUCAUUGUCAUAUCCUCGGUUUUAUGUUUCAGGGAUAACCCAAAGUCUUUUCAAGAAGGUGGGAGCUUGUCAAUGGUACAAGCAACUUGAAGGCUCUCAGUUAUACCCAUUCCCCUUAAGCCUAAUUCAUGAUAAAUCACUGUUAACUCAUGGGCUUGGUCAACUACGGGCUUGGUGUCAACCAUCUUAUAAGACAGAAAUUGACUAGCAGCAUACUUGUCCAUUCCGGCAUCUUGGAUACCAUAUUUCUUAUUAAGAUCAUCCCAAAUCUCCUUGGAGGUUUUAAAAGUGCAGUAGACAUCAAAAAGGGGAUCAGUAAGAUAGGACAGAAUCCUUCCCCUACACAGGUAAUCUUUCUUCUUAAAUUUCUCCAAAUUACAAGUUCUAGCUGGUUCAUUCUCUUCCCCAUUUGGAGGAGAGUCAAAGAUUAUGG
rnacentral:lncRNA from 1 species